rnacentral:snRNA from 1 species
AUCACUUCUCGGCCUUUUGGCUAAGAUCCAGUGUAGUAUCUGUUCUUAUCAGUUUAAUAUCUGAUACGUUCUCUAUCCGAGGACAAUAUAUUAAAUGGAUUUUUGGAACAGGGAGAUGGAAUAGGAGCUUGCUCCAUCCACUCCACGGAUCGGCCUGGUAUUUCAGUACUUCUGGGAAUGGUGCACCCCUC